AGACUUUAGGGUCUUAUCAUUUGGUAUUAGAGCAAUGAUCCUUGUCGUUCUCGCUGCAACGAAGCUAUCAAAAAAAAAAAAAAAGAAACGAAAGAAAGAAAAAAGAAAGAAAGAAAGAGAGAAGAAGAAGCAGCAAUCGCAGCCACGCACCCCUGCUUCCCCUGCUUCCGGCCAGCCCACCCGCCGCCCGUCGCUGCUCUCCGGCCAGCAACCGACUCUGCCCCACUUCCAACCAGAGUCCACCGCCGCCUCCC
rnacentral:lncRNA from 1 species